CUGAUUUCUGCCGAGGCUGCCUGGCUUGGCCUCGACUCUCAAGCGCGUGGGGCGCCGGCAUUGUCGGAUCCCGCUCGGAAGGCGAAGCCAGCGGGCCCUGCGGAGGUCCACGUGGUCAAGCACCUGUGCAUGACCAGUCAGGGUUCACCUGUGUCUAUAAGUGCUGCACUAAACUCCUCAGUAUCCAGAACCACUGGACUCCAAAGAGAAGACUCCCUUGACCCGUGUAGCAGUCACUUUCUUGUUGCUGGGGAAGAAAAUGCUUGACCAGAAGCACCUUAAUAGAAGGAACGCUAUUUAUUUA